rnacentral:rRNA from 1 species
GAGUUUGAUCUUGGCUCAGAUUGAACGCUGGCGGCAUGCCUAACACAUGCAAGUCGAACGGUAACGCGGGGGCAACCCUGGCGACGAGUGGCGGACGGGUGAGUAAUACGUAGGAAUCUGCCCAUUUGUGGGGGAUAACCCGGCGAAAGCCGGGCUAAUACCGCAUACGCUCUACGGAGGAAAGCGGGGGAUCGUAAGACCUCGCGCUAAUGGAUGAGCCUACGUCGGAUUAGCUAGUUGGUAGGGUAACGGCCUACCAAGGCGACGAUCCGUAGCUGGUCUGAGAGGACGAUCAGCCACACUGGGACUGAGACACGGCCCAGACUCCUACGGGAGGCAGCAGUGGGGAAUAUUGGACAAUGGGGGCAACCCUGAUCCAGCCAUGCCGCGUGAGUGAUGAAGGCCUUCGGUUGU